GUGGAAGGCGAAGAUGUAUGUUCUAGCGGCGGACGGGUGAGUAACGCGUGAGCAACCUGUCCUUCACAGGGGGAUAACACAGCGAAAGUUGUACUAAUACCGCAUAAGACCACACCGGGACAUCCCGGAGGGGUCAAAGGAGCAAUCCGGUGAAGGGUGGGCUCGCGUCCGAUUAGAUAGUUGGUGAGGUAACGGCCCACCAAGUCGACGAUCGGUAGCCGACCUGAGAGGGUGAUCGGCCACAUUGGGACUGAGACACGGCCCAAACUCCUACGGGAGGCAGCAGUGGGGAAUAUUGGGCAAUGGGGGAAACCCUGAACCCCCAGCAACGCCGCGUGAGGGAAGAAGGUUUUCGGAUCGUAAACCUCUGUCCUUGGUGAAGAGAGAGAGACGGUAGCCAAGGAGGAAGCCCCGGCUAACUACGUGCCAGCAGCAGC
rnacentral:rRNA from 1 species